rnacentral:rRNA from 1 species
UGCGGUUAAACAAAAGUUAAAUUAAAUUUUUUUUAAAUAUAUUAAAUAAAUACUUUUAUUUAAUUUAAAAAUUAUAUUAUUAGGUAAAAUUAUAAUUUAAUAAAAAAUUAAUAUUGAUUUAUGAAUUAAUAAAUUUAUAGUUAAACUAGGAUUAGAUACCCUAUUAUUAAAAAUUUAAAUUUAAAAUAUUAAAAUAGUAGAUAUAAAAUAUUGAAACUUAAAUUAUUUGGCGGUAUUUUAGUUCAUUUAGAGGAAUCUGUUUAAUAAUUGAUAAUCCACGAAUAAAUUUACUUAAUUUAGAAUUUUAUAUAUCGUUGUUAAAAAAAUAUUUUUAAAAAAAAUUAAUAUUUUAAUUUUAUUAUAAAAGUUUAAAUCAAAUCAAGAUGUAGAUUAUAAUUAAGAAUAUAAUGGAUUACAAUAAAAGAAUUUUUGGAUAUUAAUUUGAAAUUAUUAGUUGAAAUUGGAUUUAAAUGUAAUUUUAUAUAAUUUUUUAAGGUGAUUAAAAAUUAAAAUAUGUACAUAUUGCCCGUCGCUUUCAUUUAUAAAUUGAAAUAAGUCGUAACAAAGUAGAGGUACUGGAAAGUGUUUCUAGAAAGAA